rnacentral:rRNA from 1 species
AGGCUAGGGCCUGGACUCNGCGGAAUGCAUCUAGACCAUGGCUNUANGUCAGCUCGUGUUGUGAAAUGUUGGGUUAAGUCCCGCAACGAGCGCAACCCUCGCCUUUAGUUGCCAGCAUUUAGUUGGGUACUCUAAAGGAACCGCCGGUGAUAAGCCGGAGGAAGGUGGGGAUGACGUCAAGUCCUCAUGGCCCUUACGCGUUGGGCUACACACGUGCUACAAUGGCGACUACAGUGGGCAGCCACCUCGCGAGAGGGAGCUAAUCUCCAAAAGUCGUCUCAGUUCGGAUCGUUCUCUGCAACUCGAGAGCGUGAAGGCGGAAUCGCUAGUAAUCGCGGAUCAGCAUGCCGCGGUGAAUACGUUCCCAGGCCUUGUACACACCGGGCCUAAAUNNCGGGAUCCCCGGGCCCGUACGACCUGCAGAGGCCUGUAAUCACCAGGGGUUAUUCCCAAACACGCAAACUCCACNGGGGAGAUAAACCGNCNUGUGCAAACGACAACAUGNUGAAGCCAAAAGGGCCNGCCAAACAGGGGCCACGGAAAACCCGUNAAGAACAGGGCCCGAAUGAUUAG